GGGUCAGUAGGUUGGUCGUGCCACCGGUACGUACUGGUCUCACUGAUUCCUCCUUCCUGAAGAACCGUAAUGCCAUUAAUUUGGUGUUGCGGGGUAGCAGGACUGUUACUUUGAAAAAAUUAGAGUGUUUAAAGCAAGCUAACGCUUGAAUACAUUAGCAUGGAAUAAUGAAAUAGGACGAUCGAUCCUAUUUUGUUGGUUUCUAGGAUUGACGUA
rnacentral:rRNA from 1 species